GUUGGUUCAGAAAGGAAUUGAGGUACGUGUGUUGUGUAGAUUUUGGCAAUACUUUUACUUGAAUAGUUUUCAAUAGACUGCAUACAUGUUCAUCUGCAAGGCAGUAACAUAAAAUGUUUUCUUAUUUGAGCUGAAGUAAGCAAAGGAGGUUAAAUAUGACACAACCACUCACGCAUGUGUACAGGGAAUAAAUGUGUCAAAGCAGGGAUGAAAUAGAUUUAUGUUAAAGUAGAUUAAACCUCUUUGUUGACUAUUUUUUUGAAUAAAUCUUUGUUGACUAAUUGAUGAAACUAAUAUUCAUUUAUGUUAGUGAAACUGAUACUUGCAGUUUCUAUUUUCUGUUUUCUGUUUUCCUUCCCCUUUUGCCUAGUUGUUAUUUGGGGUUGAAGUAGUAAUGAUGAUACUUUGCUUCGUCAUACCUUCUCUAUUACUAUUCCCAUAAACCCAUUAUAAACUUGGCUGUCUUAGGCUACCUGUGUAGGCAGACAUAACUGCACUUUUUACCUUUUCCUUUCCUGGAUUCUGAUGUGGUUGAUAACUUUAAUUGUUUUAGGUUCUUUACUUAAUUGAGCCUA
rnacentral:misc_RNA from 1 species